rnacentral:rRNA from 1 species
GGCGUCAGGACGAACGGCUGGCGGCGUGCUUAACACAUGCAAGUCGAGCGAUGAAGCUCUUCGGAAGUGGAUUAGCGGCGGACGGGUGAGUAACACGUGGGUAACCUGCCUCAUAGAGGGGAAUAGCCUUCCGAAAGGAAGAUUAAUACCGCAUAAGAUUGUAAUAUCGCAUGAUAUAGCAAUUAAAGGAGUAAUCCGCUAUGAGAUGGACCCGCGUCGCAUUAGCUAGUUGGUGAGGUAACGGCUCACCAAGGCGACGAUGCGUAGCCGACCUGAGAGGGUGAUCGGCCACAUUGGGACUGAGACACGGCCCAGACUCCUACGGGAGGCAGCAGUGGGGAAUAUUGCACAAUGGGGGAAACCCUGAUGCAGCAAACCGCCGCGUGAGUGAUGACGGUCUUCGGAUUGUAAAGCUCUGUCUUCAGGGACGAUAAUGACGGUACCUGAGGAGGAAGCCACGGCUAACUACGUGCCAGCAGCAGC